rnacentral:rRNA from 1 species
AUUGAACGCUGGAGGCGUGCUUAACACAUGCAAGUCGUGCGAGAAAGGGACUUCGGUCCUGAGUAGAGCGGCGCACGGGUGAGUAACGCGUGGGUAAUCUCCCUUGGUGAUCGGGAUAACAGCGGGAAACUGCUGCUAAUACCGGAUAAUCUUCAUGUUUAACUUCAUGGGGUAAAGGUGGCCUCUGCUUGCAAGCUACCACACCGAGAUGAGCCCGCGUCUCAUUAGCUAGUUGGUAGGGUAAUGGCCUACCAAGGCUACGAUGAGUAGCUGGUCUGAGAGGAUGACCAGCCACACUGGGACUGGAACACGGCCCAGACUCCUACGGGUGGCAG